GUUAGUCGGGUCCUAAGUCGAGGCCGCACGGCGUAGACGAUGGGCAGCAGGUUCAAUAUUCCUGCACCGCCGAAAUUUAACCUACGUGGACGCAAGAAUGGAGAGUGGCAAGGUGAUGAAUGUCCUUGUCCCGCAAGGGGACGCGGAGGCUACGGCCGAAGCGGAUCACUUCAAGUUUUUGCCGAGAAAAAGCGUAGCGAAUACUAAGGCGCCCGUACCGUAAACCGACACAGGUGGGUGAGUAGAGUAUACUAAGGUGCGCGAGUGAACCCUCUUCAAGGAACUCGGCAAUCUAACCCCGUAACUUAGGGAGAAGGGGUGCCCCGCUCCAAUUCGAACGAUUUAUGCAUUAUCUCUAUGUAAUACAAAGUCCAUGUGGCCGGCGUAUCUACGUCGGCCAGACCUCCGACCUCCGGCGACGGAUGUCGGAACACCAAGCUAUGGUGAAACACCGUGGCUGGCGGCUGGUCUAUUAUGAGGCCUACCGGGAGACCGCAGAUGCGGUCCGCCGGAAAAGGCGUCUCAAGCACCAUGGCGCUGGAUGGCGCGAACUAAAAAAGCGCCUUAUGCAUAGUCUUAAGAUGAUCUAGGUCGUACGAAUUGGAGCGGGGUCGCAGACCGACUGUUUAGCAAAAACACAGCACUCUGCUAAGUCGUGAAGACGACGUAUAGGGUGUGACACGUGACCAAUGCCGAAAGAUUACGGUAAGGGGUCACCCAGCCCAUUCAGUCACAGAAAGGAGUUGAGAUCAUGUUCUAUGUGUAUGUACUCAAGGGGCCGCGCGAGCGGGAUCUUUAUUUCGGCUACAGUGCCGAUCUGAAGGCCCGGUACGCGAGCCACCAGCGAAUGCCGCGUCAUCGCGGUUGGAAGCUGGUUUAUUACGAGGCGUACCAAGACAAGCGCGAUGCGAUUGAGCGGGAGCGCCGCCUGAAACAUUACGGUUCAGGCCGGGGCCGGCUCAAAAAACGCAUUGUCCGUUCUCUCUCCGAGGGUGGUUGAAUGGGCUGGGGAAGCUCCGAGCCCAAGUCCCGGUGAAUGUCGGCCGUAACUAUAACGGUCCUAAGGUAGCGAAAUUCCU
rnacentral:rRNA from 1 species